UCACCUAUGAAGCUGCCCUGUAAGGAGUAACUAUUGAAACAUCUGCUAAUGUUGAUGACAUGAAACCUCUCCAAGCAGAACCUGGAUAACAUGACCUUUUUGCCUAAGGGAGAAGUGAAAUCCUGAUAACCUCAUGUGAUGCCCUUAGAGCAUUUCUUGACCAGUCCUUCACAAAAAACCUGUCAAGACACUGAGGAUAAGAGCUUUUCUUUUGUUCCAAUGAAGAGCUAUUGAAAGACACAAGAGUGAGAAGAUGUAUUUUUAUUAAUAUGAAAACAUACUCUGCAUUGAAGGUGAAAGCAAAGAAGACUCGACUCGGGAACUCUUCUCCAAGCGGUUUAUUCAGGAACCUUGAAACAGUCUUCUUCUCCCCUGGGAAAACCAGCCCACAGCUUAUAUGGCCUAGGCAUAGCCAACCCCAGCACGCCACUUGGCGACAGCAGAUAGGUCCACAUACACUGAAGCAAGCUGUGGACCUGAGCCUUGACCAAAUAUGGAGUUGUUUACUCCGAGAGUGCUCACCGUUGGGAGGGUGGUAGGCAGGAGCUGGCGCCAUUUUUAAGAUCCUGAGUUUAAAAGUGGGAUAUUUUCUGGCCACUUUUAACAAGAACAGUUUGGGGCUGCCAAGGUGGCUCAGAGGUAAAGUGCUUGCCACACGAGCUUUCUGAUCUGGGUUUGAUCUCCAUAGAGCCUGUAUUAAGGUGGAAGGAGGAAUUCACUUCAUGAAGUUGACCUCUGACAUGCAAAUGCAUCUUGAAUCCUCUAGAAUGGCAGAAUUCUAAUUUCUGUAUAAGACUUGUCA